AGAUUGCACGCGCAGUGCCCCAAAUUUGUUGUGAUCUGUGAGUAAGGUAAACGGUUGUCCAUACAAGUAAGGUUGCAGCUUUUUGAGGGCUCACAGCACCGCCAGGCACUCCUUUUCAAUGGCAGUGUAUCUACUUCCCUGGGCAAAAGAUAAGCCCCGGGUUGCUCGCCGCCAUCUGCUCCGACUUGGCUCAGUACUGCUCCCAAUCCAAACAUAGAAGCGUCUGUAUGGACGAGAAAGCGUUUAGUUGGAUCAGGAGCAGAAAGUACAGGUGAUUUAAUGAGCGCCGUCUUGAGCUGUUGGAAGGCCUGUUCACACUCUGGGGCCCAUACUACUAUCUUGG